rnacentral:rRNA from 1 species
GUGGGGAAUAUUGGACAAUGGGCGCAAGCCUGAUCCAGCCAUGCCGCGUGAGUGAUGAAGGCCUUAGGGUUGUAAAGCUCUUUUGUCCGGGAAGAUAAUGACUGUACCGGAAGAAUAAGCCCCGGCUAACUUCGUGCCAGCAGUCGCGGUAAUACGAAGGGGGCUAGCGUUGUUCGGAAUCACUGGGCGUAAAGCGCACGUAGGCGGACCAUUAAGUCAGGGGUGAAAGCCUGGAGCUCAACUCCAGAACUGCCUUUGAUACUGAUGGUCUCGAGUAUGGAAGAGGUUGGUGGAACUGCGAGUGUAGAGGUGAAAUUCGUAGAUAUUCGCAAGAACACCGGUGGCGAAGGCGGCCAACUGGUCCAUUACUGACGCUGAGGUGCGAAAGCGUGGGGAGCAAACAGGAUUAGAAACCCCGGUAGUCC